AAAGGAAUAGACGGGGGCCCGCACAAGCAGCGGAGCAUGUGGCUUAAUUCGAAGCAACGCGAAGAACCUUACCAGGGCUUGACAUCUUGGUGAAGCGGCGGAGACGCCGUGGCCGAGAGGAGCCAAGACAGGUGGUGCAUGGCUGUCGUCAGCUCGUGUCGUGAGAUGUUGGGUUAAGUCCCGCAACGAGCGCAACCCCCGUCGCAUGUUGCCAGCGGUCCGGCCGGGCACCCAUGCGAGACCGCCGGCGUCAAGCCGGAGGAGGGCGGGGACGACGUCAAGUCAUCAUGCCCCUUAUGCCCUGGGCUGCACACGUGCUACAAUGGCCGGCACAGCGGGCUGCCAGGCGGCGACGCCGAGCGAAUCCCCAAAGCCGGCCCCAGUUCGGACCGGGGGCUGCAACCCGCCCCCGCGAAGUCGGAGUUGCUAGUAAUCGCGGAUCAGCACGCCGCGGUGAAUGCGUUCCCGGGCCUUGUACACACCGCCCGU
rnacentral:rRNA from 1 species